UAUGACCAUAUCAUAUUGAAACACUGGUUCUCAUAUGAUCACCAAAGUUAAGCAAUGUUGAGCCUGGUCAGUACCUACAUUGGUAAUGCUUGGGAAUACUAGGUGAUGG